GCAGUGAUGGUUCCGUGGUAGAAUCCUCGCCUUCCAUGUGAGAGAUCCAGGUUCAAUUCCCGGCCAAGGCA
rnacentral:tRNA from 1 species